GCAUUGGUGGUUCAGUGGUAGAAUUCUCACCUGCCACGCGGGAGGCGUGGGUUCAAAUUCCAGCCAAUGCA